CAAGCGCGCUUCAAUAUCAUUAAUUUGAAAAUCCCAUCUAUUUCAAAAUUUGAAAAUCCGCACCACUCCCAUCUAUUUCAAAAUUUGAAGACUGUACCUCUCCCAUCCAUCUCUCCCAUUUCAAAUACUCCAUCUACUAACUUAUUUUGAAGACUCUAACGGUCCAUCUCUCCGGCGAAACUCGGCACCACCACCGUCGCUGAUUCUCCCCCUCUCUCAAUCCCACUCUCUUUCCCUUUCCCUCUCUAUUCUCACAAUUCCCAAAUUAGGAUGCAUCUAUCUUUCUCCCAAAAAUCUGACUCUCUCAUCUCCGGCGAAACUCGUCUCCAGCAUAUCACCACCGCAACUUCUCUCUCUCACUCACCCUUCUCUGGCCUCCACCUCCUGUCAGGUUGUGCGAAAUUUCUCAUUAAAAUUACCUAGAAACCCUACAUGAAAAAGCGGUGCCUCUAUCUCCCUCCUCCAACGGCACUGCACUCUCCCUCUCCAUCUCCAUCUUUCUCUCUCAAUUGGCGGAAUCGACUCGUGUUUUCCCCACACCAAGAGUCAUAGCCCUCGCAGAUUUCACGCCCCCGGCCUGCUCGCCCGGAGAAGAAAGCCGAGGACGUGGCUGUCUCGGAGUUUGGUCCCCACCGCGGCUGCUACUCGCCAUCAUCAGACGCCGUCGUCUCCUGCAGCAGGUCGCUGGUCUGGAUUCGUGGGCGGCGUCGGGUGGCCCCUGACUCGCGGCCUUGCCACCGCCGCCAGCUGCGCGAACCCGUCGCCUUCCGCCCUUCCGUCGUGGGUCUUUUCUCCUUUUUCUUCUCAUCUUUCUCCCUAAUUGAAUUGUAAAUUGAAUUGGUUUAGUUGGGGGCGAACUUGUAGUGUGUGAUCAUGCGUGCAAAUUAAGCUAGAAAAAGUGUUUAUUUAAUUGUCUAGACGGGAUACAUGUCACCAUCGACCUCCUCAUGGACUCGCCGUCUGAUUUCGUUGCUGCUGAUUCUCGCCGAGCGGUGAGAGGCGCUCCAGGAUCCACUGAGCAGUCGCUUCGGUCGGUGUCAUACUCCAGCCAUCUCGGCUGCAUUGUCAUUGUCAAUUUCGUCGGACUGCCGUGGACUUCUCGGCUUAGGGAAGCUUUAGCAACAAUCUUUCUACUCCCUCUGGAGAGUUUGUAUCUGGCUGGUGCUUGUCUAACGUUCUAGUUUGUGAAGAGGAUGCACCAUUAGAUGUACCUCGUUCAUCUUAUGCUCAUCAGAGAACGUCUUUGUUGAUUAAAGUGAUUGCAAACCUUGAUUGCUUUGUUCCUGAUGUAUACCAGGGUUCACUGUUAAGUCUUUAGUUCCAGGAUUUUUGAAUGAAGAUGAUGUACAACUGCUGAAGUAAUUUGAAUAUAUGCCUUCCUUCCAUGCUGAAAUCGGGUUAUUUGUAAGUCAGUUUGAGUUCCGAAUCGUUCGUGCUGCAUCGGAAGAUCAUUUAGUCCAUGAGAUUGGGAAGAGGUGGACUGCAGGAGCAACUAGCUUCCUAUAUUGGACUCCCGGCCUUGAUGAAAAAAAGAGUAGGUAUAUUUUUUUUGUAAGAGAUCAUCUCAUGUUGUGAUGUAGUAAUUAUUUUCUCUAGUGAUGAUAAAAGAAAACAAAAGAAAUUCUCUUUUUUCUAUGAUAUAAAACGUUUCCUUCCUUUUGCUUAAGAUUUGAAAAUCAUGUUAAUAAAAACCACGUUUAAACAACACUUAAUUUGCUCGGGGUCUUGCAUGUUAUGCAAAUGAUUCACACUGUUUUGUAGGGAAUAAGCUUUAUAAAAAGGAAUUUUAAUGCCAGAAAAGGAAGGUAGGAAGGUAAGACUGAUCUUGUAAAGAUGACAGGAAAGAUGACAGUAUAUAUUUAGAGAUAACAAUUUAAUCUAUCAAUCAAAAUUGAAUGUUGGAAAGUUUCGAAGAUGAUCUAAAUUGAAUGAGUAUUAUGUUUUUUUUCUGAUAAAGAUACAUCGGUAGAGGUUUGCUUUCAGCAUUUUGGUAUGUGAGAAGGUUCCAGGUUUGCAGCCGGUAGGAAAUCCGAGCUUUUAUUGUAGUCGUUAAAUCUUGGUCUUUGAGGAUUCUGGAAAAACUUUCCGUUUGAGUCAGAUUACAGAGCAAUCAUGCUGCUUUGAGGCUACUGAGAUAAUUCAGCAUAUUCUAGUGUUACUCGUAGUCGAUUUGAUGGCCUCUCUAAGCAUUUAGAUUCAUUCUUGCAAAUGUUAUCUCUUGUGCAACUAAGGUGUUUUCCGUGAUAGUUCCUAGUGCAUAAAUAGACUAGAAAGUACUUAGUCGAUCAGAAGGUCGAGGGUGCUAAGGGGACUGAGUUCUUAACAUAAAAGAAACGGGUGGAAAGGGUGGGAAAUUGAAGGCACAAGUCUAUUUAUUGAUUUUUGAGCUUGCUUUGCUUGAUCUUCUGCCUCUUGGUUGUUGCACCUAUAUUUUUCUACUUAUUUAAUUCACUCUUUGCUACAUUUUGCAGAUUUAAAAUUAAUCUGUUAAAUAUAUUAUGUUUUUGUGAGCUAUACAGUGCCUGACGUUUUUCUACUUUUUUCUAAUCCACUGUUUGCUGUCUUACUGCUUUAUAAAUAACACAUACAUAGUAUCCUAUUUUUCUGUCUCAUAUGCUUGUACAAAUAUGUGCUAUAUUAGUGUUUCUCUGAUAUAUAAACUCCCAUUGAUUGUCAAAUCUUGGCAUCUUAAUAUCUGUUUUUACAGGCUCAUUCCCAAGUACUUACUAGACACAUUUCCUUUUUUACUUUGGCAUUAGGUUUGUUGUACUUGCAUCUAAAAAAAGAAAUCAUGGGUCUUGGAAGCUGGUUGAGCAGUCAAUUGGGUCUACAACAAAUGUUUAUAGCAUUUACCGCACAAUAAGCAUUGCAAUAUCUGCACUUUGAGAAGAUUUUGCCUUUUAUACAUAUGCAGUUUUCAGUUUCUCAUUUUGCCCUACUGUUAACAU